rnacentral:tRNA from 1 species
GCCUGGGUGGCUCAGUCGGCUGAGCGUCCGACUUCAGCUCAGGUCACGAUCUGGUGGCUCGUGGGUUCGAGCCCCGCGUCAGGCU